rnacentral:rRNA from 1 species
UACAUCGCUCAAGUGAACAUUGUAGAGGAUUUUGAUAACCGACCUUCCAAAAUGGCAAAAAUUUCCGAAUCAGGUGUUCUGGAGCCAUCACCUAUGUCACCAACUAUGUCAACAUCUUCUCCAGGAUCGACAAUAUCUCCUGUUUUUCCAUUACAUGAUGUUAAGGAACCAGAUUCACAUAAAGAGAUCAAAGUUUAUGAUUAUCUCCCACAAGACUAUACAUUGACCGACCAUGAUCUAUGUGCUCAUAUAGCAAUAGAAUCAUCUUUGAGAAAAGAAUUGCUGGUUCAGAUAGAUGGAAGUUCUGUCUUGCAACAUCAGUUGAUGUGCCUGCUAGAUAAAAAAGAGUGGGUAAAUGAUGAUGACCAAAUACAUCUCCAGAAUGAUAAUAAAGUAUAUUUUGAGAGUCCAUUUGUUACCUCACUAUUUAAACGAGAUGGCACCCUUGGAAUACAAGAAGAUAGUGCCUUCAUGACAGAGACUGUCCUCGAAUAUAUGCAGCAUGACAUGAUUAAACUUCCAAUAAAUGCCAGCAACACACAUUGGUAUCUAGCUGUUGUGAAUACAAAAAAACGUGAAGUUCAAGUACUAGACUCAUUAUGCUGGAAUUCUGACAGAGAUGAUCUCGCUAAUACGCUACGAGGAAUACAAUUUCAUUUGGACCUUCUUAAAAGUCAAAAUUUGGCAAGCGACGAUUGGAAAGACAUUGAUCUUACUGAAUGGAAGAUCACAGAACAAUUACAAAAGGCAAUUCAAAAAGAUAGUUCUUCAUGUGGUUUAUUUAUGGUUAAAUUUAUGGAAUAUUUCACCGGAUGUGCACUAUCCUACCCAAUUACACAGGAAAUGAUUACUUCUUUCAGGUUUAAGUUAGCUAGCAUACUAUUAUGUUGGAAAACAAACACUGCAGCAGGAGAUCCUGAUGAUGUUCAAAUAUUGGAAAGUUUAGAUGAUUUUAAAAAAACAAAACAAAAAUUACCAUUAUCUGUUGAAAAUAAAUACAGAUCACUAAUAUCAGUUCUUUCUAAUAUGACCUUACAUGAGUUAACAGAUGGACUCUGUAGCUUCAUUAAAUCAAUCAAUUACACUGAGAUUUUAGAGAAAGUAUGGAUCCAUAGUUCAAAACCAUAUCCAAUUAGCUUGUCUCUAAAAAAACUACAAGGAAUGCUAAAGGAUGAUUUACCCAUGGACCGAGAUUGCUUUAAUUUGAUCGUACGGAAGAUUAUGUUGGAUGACUUCCAAACGACAAAAAAACAAUUGAUAGCAAAGCAUUAUCUGGACAUGAAAUUUUGGAUGACUACUGAUUAUGGAAGGCACCCAGAUUACCAUAAAAAGUUAGAUGUGGAGCAACUAGCAAAUUCUGUUCGUAGUUGGUCUUGUACCAAUGUUUCAACAUUUAAAUCAGUAAGAGCACUUUUAUAUACUUUAUAGCAAAAAAAAAUAUUGCAUCUAAUAUGUAGCCUAUUUCAGAUCCAUAUUCCAGUACAAACCAUGGAUGAAUUCAUUCUAUUCACAUUGGACCAAGAUAUCAGAACAGUGUACAUUUUGGACCCUACUCCUAUUAAUCCAAUGUACCGAUACAACCCACUCGCAAAAUAUAUGAAAAAAAUUAUAUGGAUUUCCGAACACUUACAAAAAGCAAUGUCAAAAGCAUGCCCUGGGUCUAGAUGGAACGAGGAUAUUCGCCUAUGGCAACAUAAAAUCCUAGAUGAUAUUCCAGUUUACAACAGGGAAUUGUCUGGUUAUCUUGUUCCCCUAUUCAUGUCCACAUGGGAAGACGAAAGACCACAUUUGCCAUUUUUAAAGGAUGGAUAUGAACUCAGAAAACUAAUUUUGGGCCAAGUGCUAACAUUCAAGGACAAUGAAUGUGAAGAUAACAUGCCUGUUGGUGUACUGGAAUUCAUCAAUUGUAUUAGGAAAAUCCAAAGUAAAACUGGUAUGUCAAAUAGUAUCAAUUCAUCUCGAAAUGUCAAAUGA